AUGCAAACUUGAUCAUUAACUCUGCAUGAUGUUAAAGAAAUGAGGGGACCCAGGAUUGCUAAAGUAACUGCAGUGAUAGAAAUAUAUAAACUUCAGGUAAACCCACUGAGUUUACUAUUAUAUUAUAGUAUAGGG